rnacentral:rRNA from 5 species
AACGACUCUCGGCAACGGAUAUCUCGGCUCUCGCAUCGAUGAAGAACGCAGCGAAAUGCGAUACUUGGUGUGAAUUGCAGAAUCCCGUGAACCAUCGAGUUUUUGAACGCAAGUUGCGCCCAAAGCCUUUUGGCCGAGGGCACGUCUGCCUGGGUGUCACGC